UCUGUUUGCAAUAUUUGGGCUUAUCUUGUUUCGUGUUUUCACAAAUGGUAUUAGUUUUAAUCGCUCUAAUUCGUCGCAGGCCACAUGGUGUGCAAUACAAUCACGAACAGAAGCUAUGGCCAAAGUUCACCUCAACAAGCUAUCUCGUUUUAUUAGUCGUGAAGCGUAAAUGGCAACCUUUUUAAAGCUCCUUGCCUGAAUGAAAAUUAUCAGCUCUAAUCUGCGGGUAGACCUCUCCCGCCAGACUGUCACAAAUAUUUCAGUGUGGUUUCACGGCGACUGAUCUCGGCUUCUUUGGUCACAGACGUCGACUAUUCAUGGCUGAGUGCCUUUGUCGCGAACACACGGCUCACACGCUUUGCUUCUGAGGUGAAAGCUUCGUCAAUAGACCCGCCGGCUCUUGGCGUUUAGGCCCAAAUUAAGUCUCUGCAUGCUGGUGGAAGAGUUGUCAGCGAUGAUGAGAUUCCUUAUCCUGUCCUUAGUUGUCUACAUGUGUUCAGCCCAAGGUUAGUGCGCUAUUUGUUCAGAAGUUGUGAGUUUGUUUUCGUUUGAUUGUUCCAGUUGUAUAUUCAAUUACCCUAGGGGAAAUCGACCAUCUUUAUAGAAUCUUAGCAAGUCAUUGCUUAUUUUCCAAGAUGAGUAAAGUGGUGUCCGAACCUUACAGCAAAACGUUAACUUGUAACUAUCUUUGCGAUUAAUUAAUUUACUACAUCUGAUCUAGUAGAGUUUGGCGUGAUUAAACUGUAUUCAGCGAACGGACAAGCUGUCAGAGGGCGCGGUGUGCAAGUCAAAUUGCCCUGCAAUACACUUAAAACAGCACAAAGAGCGCAAAAUUAACCUAGUCUUCCAAACCGCCGAGUCUCUCAUUAGAAGAUUGAAAGCGAAUUAGCUGCCAUUUUGAAUAGGGGGAAACGGAUGUUGCUAUAUAGAGUGUUUGAAAGAGGAAGUCGGUAAUCUAAUAUCGAAAAAUUUCUUUACAAAUUCACUUGUGAAAUAUUUUAACGCCAUAACAUGCUAUAAACUAAAGGCAUUAUCCAGAUUGAUCAUCAUUUGCUGUCCAUCGUUUGAGAGCUGCAGUUAAGGCAGAUCGUCGCGUUAUUUAAGGGACACUUUCACGGUUUGGCGUAUGUGCAAACUGCAGCUUGGGCAAAAAGUAUAUUUCUCACUUUCUUGCUGGAUCACAAGCGAUACGGCAAUUAUAGACUACAAUUUGUGCAAGCAGAAUGACUGACUGAUACUCAAAUUUAACCAAAGAAAUCAACAGGUUUGGAGAGAAAAUGUUAAAUUUAGUAUUAACAGUGGAAUUUCUUAUUCGCGCCGACGGAUUAUAUAUCAUAUCUGGACACCGCACAAGUUCUCUACUCGUAUGCGAUUGGUUCAUAAACAUUAAUUGUCACUUAGCUUAGAAGAGUAUGGUAGUCUGAACAUAUCGAAAUUAAAUGAUUUCCAAUUAUAAGAAAUAUCACAUCUAUUGCCGUAUUUCCUUGCUUGACUUCUCGAAAAAUGUUCAGAGGAAAUAUUCCCACAAGAGUCACGAACUCGUCUUCCAUAAAUUUAUAAACAAUGGAAUCGAAGGGGGGUAACAUUACAGCUUGCAUAGACUAGAGAUAAGAAAUCAUCGUUAUGAAUUUCUCUGUAAAGGCUUUGGAAGUUACUGUUUACAGAUAAAAUGGACAAUUCGAAACAUUAUUCCGUCUGGAGUAUAAUAUAAAACAGUAUAAUAUUUCAUGCAUUAUUUAAACAGGAGUUAUCGAUCAUCAGAUAACCAUAUAAAGAGUGAACAGCUUGUUAACAGAAAUAGUGGACUGGACUUGUGGAAUUGAGAAAAGGAGACCUCGUGUUCUUGUAGAAUUGGAACAUUGCAUACAUUACAAUCAAAUUUCUUCGUAAUACCUUUACGAUGUUUAAUAUCAUGAGUAGUGUUUAUAUCCAAUCCUGUACGGUCGAUGAAUGCAUUAUAACUUGAAGCAUUCAAAACUGCAUGGAUUCAACUUUAAAGUGCGAUAUUAAUUAUAUUACAAUAUUUUAGCUAUAUUUCAACACAUUAAUUAUAUUUAAUUAUAUUAUAAACAUGCAAGAGGUAAGUUAUGCCCUGUGAAGUCACAAUGGGCGGUAAAAGUAAUCGAGACACUUGAAAAACGACGCUGUGCGACAUCUAACCCCUUAGACAAAUGCAUGCAUCAAGAGUUCUCUGAAAAUUCAAUAUUGCACAGUUGUUGUGGUCUGAUUAAGA